rnacentral:rRNA from 1 species
UACAGAGGCCCCAAGCGUUAGGCGGAAUCACUGGGCUUAAAGCGUGUGUAGGCGGACUUCUAAGUACCUUGUGAAAUCCCACGGCUUAACCGUGGAACUGCUUGGUAUACUGGUCGUCUUGAGCCACUUAGGGGUUACCGGAACAAAUGGUGGAGCGGUGAAAUGCGUUGAUAUCGAUAGGAACUCCGGUGGCGAAGGCGGCAUACUGGUCCACUUCUGACGCUGAGGCGCGAAAGCCAGGGGAGCAAACGGG